GGGGAGGGGCGGCGAGGCGAGGCCUGCGGAGCGGAGGAAGACAAACAUAAAGAUGAAGUGCUUAAUUCAAGGUCACACAAUGUCGGGGAUGGACCUCCAGAUUUCCUUACUGACCUGCAUUAUCUUGUGGAUACCUGAGUGAAUUCCACACCACCCAUUUUAUAGAUGAAACCACUGAGACAUGGAGCAAUUGACUGAGUAGUCACUGCCCCACCCCUGCCUGGAGCCUCACACAUGACUCGCCUCCUCUCAGUGACCACAGGAAAACAAGCUCAGGGCUCCCACUGAUUGUACAUUAUGACCAAGUGUGUUGGGGACUUGAGAUGCGUACAUGAGUGUGAUGUUUCCUGCUGAAAGCACAGGUGAGACGUGGUCUUGUAACACAGUGGUUAAGAAUGUGACUUUGGAGCCAGCCUGCUAGGGGCUGAAUUCUGACUCAGCCAUUUACUAACUGUGUGACCUUAGGUCACAGAAUUUUCCACACUCCUUGACAGAGGUGCUUAACCCUUAUCCAUCAGCAUUCUCAGACAGCACCUCCGGUUAGGGACAGUAUCUGACCGUCCGACAUCCCUGCAGCCCCCAUGUGUCACACAGACUCAGCCUCAGGUAGAUGGUUUCCGUAGAUGGUGGCUUUCUUUGGACCCUUGACAUCAACCAGUUACUAUUUGGGGACCAGAUGUGCAGAGGUAAUGAAUACCAGGGAAUCAGGAAACCACUGGAUCAGUUCUUUGAGCCACAGAACAAC
rnacentral:lncRNA from 1 species